GAGUUUGAUCCUGGCUCAGAUUGAACGCUAGCGGGAUGCCUUACACAUGCAAGUCGAACGGCAGCACGGACUUCGGUCUGGUGGCGAGUGGCGAACGGGUGAGUAAUGUAUCGGAACAUGCCCAGUAGCGGGGGAUAACUACGCGAAAGCGUAGCUAAUACCGCAUACGCCCUACGGGGGAAAACAGGGGAUCGCAAGACCUUGCACUAUUGGAGCGGCCGAUAUCGGAUUAGCUAGUUGGUGGGGUAACGGCUCACCAAGGCGACGAUCCGUAGCUGGUUUGAGAGGACGACCAGCCACACUGGGACUGAGACACGGCCCAGACUCCUACGGGAGGCAGCAGUGGGGAAUUUUGGACAAUGGGGGAAACCCUGAUCCAGCCAUCCCGCGUGUGCGAUGAAGGCCUUCGGGUUGUAAAGCACUUUUGGCAGGAAAGAAACGUCAUGGGUUAAUACCCCGUGAAACUGACGGUACCUGCAGAAUAA
rnacentral:rRNA from 1 species